rnacentral:rRNA from 1 species
ACUCCUACGGGAGGCAGCAGUGGGGAAUAUUGCACAAUGGGGAAACCCUGAUGCAGCCAUGCCGCGUGUGUGAAGAAGGCCUUCGGUUGUAAACCGCUUUCAGGAGGGAAGAAGCGAAAGUGACGGUACCUCCAGAAGAAGCCCCGGCCAACUACGUGCCAGCAGCCGCGGUAAUACGUAGGGGGCGAGCGUUGUCCGGAAUCAUUGGGCGUAAAGCGCAUGUAGGCGGCCGCGUGAGUCGGAUGUGAAAUCCCGGGGCUCAACUCCGGAACUGCAUCCGAUACUGCGCGGCUUGAGGAAGGUAGAGGAGAGUGGAAUUCCCGGUGUAGCGGUGGAAUGCGCAGAUAUCGGGAGGAACACCUAUGGCGAAGGCAGCUCUCUGGGCCUCUCCCUGACGCUGAGAUGCGAAAGCGUGGGUAGCGAACAGGAUUAGAUACCCUGGUAGGUCAGUC